rnacentral:piRNA from 1 species
UGAGUUUGUCUGAAGACCUGGGAUCAAUGGAA